GCCCUUGGCCGCUGCAGAGUUUGAUCCUGGCUCAGAUGAACGCUGGCGGCAUGCCUAACACAUGCAAGUCGAACGGACACCUUCGGGUGUCAGUGGCGAACGGGUGAGUAACGCGUAGGAAUCUACCCCUGGGAGGGGGAUAACAGCUGGAAACGGCUGCUAAUACCCCAUACAGGCGCAAGCUGAAAGGAGCAAUCCGCCCAGGGAUGAGCCUGCGUCGGAUUAGCUAGUUGGUGGGGUAAUGGCCUACCAAGGCGACGAUCCGUAGCGGGUCUGAGAGGAUGGCCCGCCACACUGGGACUGAGACACGGCCCAGACUCCUACGGGAGGCAGCAGUGGGGAAUUUUCCGCAAUGGGCGAAAGCCUGACGGAGCAAUGCCGCGUGAGGGAAGAAGGCCUUCGGGUCGUAAACCUCUUUUCUGGGGGACGAAGUUCUGACGGUACCCCAGGAAUAAGCCUCGGCUAACUCUGUGCCAGCAGCCGCGGUAAGACAGAGGAGGCGAGCGUUAUCCGGAGUCAUUGGGCGUAAAGGGUACGUAGGCGGCUAGUCAAGUCUGAGGUUAAAGACCACAGCUUAACUGUGGGAAGGCCUUGGAAACUGACUGGCUAGAGUGGGGCAGGGGUUGCGGGAAUUCCCAGUGUAGCGGUGAAAUGCGUAGAUAUCGGGAAGAACACCUGAGGCGAAAGCGCGCAACUGGGCCCUAACUGACGCUGAGGUACGAAAGCUAGGGGAGUGAAUGGGAUUAGAUACCCCAGUAGUCCUAGCCGUAAACGAUGGACACUAGACGUUGGCCGUACCAACCCGGUCAGUGUCGUAGCUAACGCGUUAAGUGUCCCGCCUGGGGAGUACGCACGCAAGUGUGAAACUCAAAGGAAUUGANGGGGCCCGCACAAGCGGUGGAGCAUGUGGUUUAAUUCGAUGCAACCGAAGAACCUUACCAGGGCUUGACAUGCCGCGAACCCUGCGGAAACGUGGGGGGUGCCU
rnacentral:rRNA from 1 species